ACGGAGGGAGCAAGCGUUACUCGGAAUUAUUGGGCGUAAAGGGCGCGUAGGCGAUUCGGUAAGUCUCGUGUGAAAUCCCAGUGCUUAACGCUGGAAGAGCAAGGGAAACUGCUGAAUUUGAGUUCCGGAGAGGAAGGCAGAAUUCCCGGUGUAGCGGUGAAAUGCGUAGAUAUCGGGAGGAACGCCGGUGGCGAAAGCGCUCUGCUGGACCUCUUCUGACGCUGAGGCGCGAAAGCUGGGGGAGCGAACGGGA
rnacentral:rRNA from 1 species